GGCAAGAGACUGAGUCUCUUAAGGUCUUUUGAAGUCCAAAGGAGAACUUGGAACCUUAAAUGAUUGUGACCUCUCCCUGAGCCCCAGGAAGAACACAGCUGUGUCCUGAGGAACUGUACUCCACACACUAGAAUCUGGCUUUGGGUCCAACUCAUCCCAUUCGGUCGUUCUGAACUCUAUCAACAGGGCAGCCCUGGAUGACCAAGUUUCCUUAGAAUGAUAUAAUUGGACCCACCAGCAGGUACACUUCUGCCUUCUGAUUCUACCCAAGGUGCUGUUCCUACAUUUUGCCUUCAAAGCUGAUCUUGAAACUCUUCCACCAGAAAGUCUUAAAAAGAUGGAAUCACCUGCCUGCUACUCACUGCAUAUUUAAUUACCCCACCUUACACAGGAGUUUGGACUUGUCCAUAUAUUACUGUGAAAGGCCCUUUCUCAUCUUUUCCAGUCAAAUCUGUCUAAUGCUUCGAGG